rnacentral:tRNA from 1 species
GCGAGAGUGCUGGAAUCGGCAGACAGGCACGUUUGAGGGGCGUGUGAAUUUCUUCGUGUGGGUUCAAGUCCCAUCUCUCGCACCA